AGCUCCCUCCUCUUGUUUGUUUUGAACCCAACUCCUGAUCUUGCGAGAUGGUGCCAGUCUUGUUUCAAUAGAUGGUGAACAGCAGAAUCCUCCCCAUCCUUUCCAUACCCCUACAAUUAAUCAUUUUAAACCUCUGUUGUUCCUGCUCUUCACUGUCUGUCUACCUGGAGAAGUCCCAGCUUGCUUGCUUGUCCUGCGUGGAGAUGCCUUUCCAUGCAUGUUCUCUGAAAUCUUGAAAAGUUACAGUUGGGCAUCUUUAUGUAAACUCAACGACAAAUACUUCAUUGUGAGUCCUUUCCUUAUUUGAACACAACUGCUUGCAGGAAUACGAAUGCUUUGUUGCUUUGUCAUCUUCUGCUGCAGACCUCACUAUUAGAAGCUGGCUGAUGACUGUGACUCCCAAAUCAUAGUAUACAAGAAUGGAGCUGAGCCUGAAUACAGGUGCAAGGACCUUGGCAUGAUCCCUGAGCUGUGUAACUCCACUGAUAAAAUCAAGGUGGAGAAAAUUGAAGCAGCAUGGUGGAACUGUGGACAAAGCUGGACUCGGAACCGACCGCACAGAAGAGCUGCAGAUUGAAGUGAAGAAGAUGAAAGGGGACUUUGAGGAGAAACUACUUGGUGCACGUGGUGGAAAGGAGUUGCUGAAUGUGGAGAAGCAGCAGAUGACUGCAGAGAAGCAGGAG